GGCCGGCUGGCCUAAUGGCAAGGCGUCUGAAUACGAAUCAAGAGAUUCUGGGUUCGACCCUCAGGCUGGUCA
rnacentral:tRNA from 1 species